rnacentral:rRNA from 1 species
CCUACGGGAGGCAGCAGUGGGGAAUAUUGGACAAUGGGGGCAACCCUGAUCCAGCCAUGCCGCGUGUGUGAAGAAGGCUUUCGGGUUGUAAAGCACUUUCAGUGGGGAGGAAAAGUUGGUCGUUAAUAGCGGCCAGCCGUGACGUCACCCACCGAAGAAGCACCGGCUAACUCCGUGCCAGCAGCCGCGGUAAU